CAUCCCCUGUGUGGUUUUCGUGAUGGGUUCAGCAGUUGUAGAACCAACAGUUGUUUAUAGGGAGUCUUUCUAUCCACGCGGCCUGUGCCUGCCCCGCCAGUACGGGGACGCUAACGGCUCGUGGGGCGGACACCCACCUGGUGAAAGUCAGGUUCUAGUCAGCUAACCCACACGGCUUCGCGGGGGAUGC
rnacentral:other from 1 species